rnacentral:rRNA from 1 species
CAGGCCUUGACAUCCCGGUCGCGGACUCUUGAAAGAGAGUCUUUCAGUUCGGCUGGACCGGUGACAGGUGCUGCAUGGCUGUCGUCAGCUCGUGUCGUGAGAUGUUGGGUUAAGUCCCGCAACGAGCGCAACCCUCGCCCUUAGUUGCCAUCAUUUAGUUGGGCACUCUAAGGGGACUGCCGGUGAUAAGCCGCGAGGAAGGUGGGGAUGACGUCAAGUCCUCAUGGCCCUUACGGCCUGGGCCACACACGUGCUACAAUGGCGGUGACAAUGGGCAGCGAUGGCGCGAGCCGGAGCUAAUCUCAAAAAGCCGUCUCAGUUCGGAUUGCACUCUGCAACUCGGGUGCAUGAAGUUGGAAUCGCUAGUAAUCGUGGAUCAGCACGCCACGGUGAAUACGUUCCC